rnacentral:rRNA from 1 species
AUUGAACGCUGGCGGCAGGCCUAACACAUGCAAGUCGAGCGAGCGGCGGACGGGUGAGUAAUGUAUGGGGACUGCCCGAUAGAGGGGGAUAACUCCUGGAAACGGUAGCUAAUACUGCAUACUAUGGGAUAACACAUAUGGGAUUAGCUAGUAGGUGAGGUAAUGGCCCACCUAGGCGACGAUCCCUAGCUGGUCUGAGAGGAUGAUCAGCCACACUGGGACUGAGACACGGCCCAGACUCCUACGGAGGCAGCAGUUGGGAAUAUUGCACAAUGGGCGCAAGCCGGAUGCAGCCAUGCCGCGUGUGUGAAGAAGGCCCUAGGGUUGUAAAGGACUUUCAGUCGGGAGGCGUUACCGACAGAAGAAGCACCGGCUAACUCCGUGCCAGCCGCCGCGGUAAUUC